rnacentral:rRNA from 1 species
AGUGAACGCUGGCGGUAGGCCUAACACAUGCAAGUCGAACGGCAGCACAGUAAGAGCUUGCUCUUACGGGUGGCGAGUGGCGGACGGGUGAGGAAUACAUCGGAAUCUACUUUUUCGUGGGGGAUAACGUAGGGAAACUUACGCUAAUACCGCAUACGACCUACGGGUGAAAGCAGGGGAUCUUCGGACCUUGCGCGAUUGAAUGAGCCGAUGUCGGAUUAGCUAGUUGGCGGGGUAAAGGCCCACCAAGGCGACGAUCCGUAGCUGGUCUGAGAGGAUGAAAAGCCCCAGUGGAACUGGGACACGGUCCAGACCCCCAGGGGAGGCAGGAGUGGGGAAUAUUGGACAAGGGGCGGAAGCCUGAUCCGGCCAUACCGGGUGGGUGAAGAAGGCCUUCGGGUUGUAAAGCCCUUUUUUUGGGAAAGAAAAGCAGCGGGUUAAUACCCCCCUGUUUGGACGGUACCCAAAGAAAAAGCCCCGGCUAACUUCGU